CGACUUUUUGAUAAAAGCUGGAGAUGGGCCACUGCAAUCAAUAUCCAUCAUUUUUCCAGUUUCUCGUCUUUCAAAAAUCUUCAAGCUUUUCUUCUCCUUUACUACUUCUUCCACUAACUUUCUUCUCCAAAAUCAGUACUACCCACCUUCCCAAAACACCUCUCUGGUCCUCCUUCUUCAACCAUGUGCAGCUUCUUAUCUGGUAUUUGUUAGAUUAUAUAUAGUCGCAAACAUCCUGGUGAAUAAUGGGUUCUGGAGACUGGUUUAAGACCAUAAUUAGCCGAAAGAAAGUGAAAGAGGAAAGACCCAAACAACUAGAGGGACAAUUUCA